AACGCAAGUUGCGCCUGAUGCCAUUAGGUUGAAGGCACGUCUGCCUGGGCGUCAUGCAUUGCGUCACCCACUCCCCCGUGCCCCAAGUGGGCAUGUCGGUGCGUGGGUGGAUAUUGGCCCUCCGUUCACAUCCGUGCUCAGUCGGCCUAAAAAAUGGGUCCUCAAUGACGGACAUCACGACAAGUGGUGGUUGCUAAACCAUCACGUCAUGUCGUGCAUGCCAUCAUUUGUUGUGGGUUGGCCCAUUUGACCCAGAAGUGCCGUUUAACUUUGGCGCCUCAACUGUGACCCCAGGUCAGGCGGGAUUACCCGCUGAGUUUAA
rnacentral:misc_RNA from 1 species